AACAAGGCGUACCUGCGGACCUGCGGAAGGAUCAUUACAGAGUUGCAAAACUCCCAACCAUUGUGAACGAACCGCUGUGCUCAGGCGGGUGGCCCUGCUGCCGCCCGCCGGGAGCACGCAAGCUCUUUAAUUUCGUGGAUAUCUGAGUAGCUCAUUCAAUGAGUCAAAACUUUUAACAAUGGAUCU
rnacentral:misc_RNA from 1 species